UUCAAUUGUAUCAUACUUGGGAACUUAGCGAGUUGUCUGUCAAAUUACAUGGUGGUGACACUGUUUAGAAUCAAUGACAAUUUUAAAUAUUUCUCCUGAGAACUCGAGUUUAGAAAAUGCAUAUUUUGGUUCUAACAUACUUUAAAGAAUAGUGAAGGGCAGUUAGACCUUUUACUGAAAGAGAUAACUUAUCAUUUUAUUAUUUCCUUAAAUGUUAAUAGGUAGCUGCUUACCAGUGUAAUCAUCAUGUCUAUUCUUCAGGGAUCAAUAUCAGUCAGCAUGUCUAUACAUGAGACUCAUUUUUGCUUUGUAUGUUGCCACCUGACUGCUGGUGAAAAAGAUGGAGAUGAACUAAAGAGAAAUGCAGAUGCUGAGAAAAUUCUUAGAAAAACAGUGUUUUGCCCAGUUGGUAGAGUAGGCGUGCCCCAAAGAAUACAUGACCACGAAAUGAUUAUAUUGUUAGGGGAUCUCAACUGUCGCCUCAACUUAUCAUAUGAAACGACACACGAACUUAUCUCCAAACAGGACUGGGAUGGAUUGUUUGAGAAGGAUCAGCUGAAAAGAGAACUAGGGAAAGGAUGCACAUUCGACGGUUGGAUUGAAGGGUCUAUCAGCUUUGCCCCCAACAUAUAAAUAAGAGUUUAAUUCAGAAAAAUAUGUAAGUGAUGCUUCAAAAUCUGGGAGAAGAACACCGGCAUGGUAUGCUCCCG